ensembl:lncRNA
AUGUAACCCUGGUAAGAUUUACAGCAAUCAGAAGUACAGGGUUCUUUGAAUGCAUCGUAGUCCUUGUCUGAUAGUUUAAUUUCCGGGCUUGCCCUGAAGGCACCAUCUGCAGCUCCGUGCGCGUGAAGGUGUGGUGUAGAGGAAAAAGGACGGCAAGGAAAAACUCCAUGCUGCCGCGGAGCACGGUUUUUUCCAGUUGAAAGAGAGGAAAGAGGUUUAAUUAACAUUUGUGAGAGAGCUGUCGUUAGCGGUGAACCACAGACGGGUACCUACCUGAAAGGAGCCGGAGUAUUUCUUUGAACUUUUUGAACUAUUCUGACUGGUUUUUUUUUUGAGGUACAGUUCCAUGGGUGCCAAGUGAGGAGCUGGUAUCGUGGGUCUAAGACACUGUUGCUGCUGUGGAGGCCUUCUCUGUGUCAGGACGCCGACACGUUGAUGCCUGCCGUACCAGGAGGGCGGUAGGGAAAAAACAAAAGGAAGCCCACCUGAGAGAUACCUUAUCAUUUUCUUUGCUACUUUUUCUCCGCCUGAGAUUCAGGUCGUUUUCAGUUCUUAACCCAGGACAGUGGGUAACUGAAUAAACUGACACCAUAAGGAACUGGACACUCACAUGCUAUUUUCUUUUCUUUUUCCUUUUCUUUGGGGUGUUGAAAUAUUGUGUUUCUUGUCUUACAUCUAUUUUGAUUGUUUCAAUUAUUUUUGUGAUGCAUUUGAGAUGGUUACUGCAUUUGAAGGUAUCCCUACAUUGAGGAUGAGCAAAGGGAACUGAUCCAAAAGGAAAUAUAUAAAGCAAACUUUGUUUCAUAAACCUGUGGUCGUGCGUGUUAUGUGGGUUGGAAGUCUCAUUGCUCUUACAGAGUUGCUACCGCCAAUCUCCUUCCCAAACCUAGAUUCGGAUAUUGUAGACAUUGCACUUGGGCGAGCAGUAUAGAUCAUCUCUUUAUAGAUAGAGGGACACACGUCCAGGUUACAUUUAGUUAUAUUGUGACUUACUCUCACAGAAGAUACAGAUGCCACAAACAGACUUUGAACAACGCAUGUGCUUGUAUGCACCACAUUUCUGGCACUGCACCUGUGAAUUAAAAAAAAAAGAAGAAGAAGAAAUAAACAAACAAAAAACAAAUGAACAAAGUCCAUUAAAUAAACAAUCUAUAUGGCUAAGGACAUGUCAUAGUGUACCCGGUCUUUGGCUGCAAUCACACACCAGCACUGACUGCACUUCCUAGUUCGAUCUGCAAAAUAUAAUUUGUUUCAGUACAAGUUACAUUUUCCAAUGUUAGAGAAAAAGAAGGCAGCUAAUUUUAUCUUUACCUAUUGAGGAAAAUAAGUAGUGGCAAAGUCGGGACCUGAGCUUUGUGAUUUCAGUGUUGUACUCCUCCACUUGUGUUUUACCGUCAAUGAGAGAUUGGGCAAACUAAUAAUUGACGAAGAAAAAAAAGAAAAAAAGAACUGAUUAGAAAAGAAUUAGAUUAACAAAGAAAUGUUUGUUUGUUUUUAACCCCCCCCCCAAGAAAAAAAAAAAACAGAGCAACCAAAGCAAAGCAUUACUGCUGAAAUGGUUCAAUCUACAAAAAAAAUUGAGAUUUUACCAUCCUGCCUCUAAGGCUUUAAAAACUGAAUAGGCAAAAAUGUAAACAUUACUUAUAUAGGUUAAAGCUAUAGUUUUCAGUACCAUUAUGACAUGCACUCCACAUGAGUUCCCAUCCUGUUGAUGUGGGUGGCUCACAUGUGACAAGGUCCACUCUCCAGCGCAGCCUCUUGCUGAAGCAAAUGAGCUGAGAGAUCGCAGUUAUUACAAAUAAAAAGCAUAUAGAGAAAUCAAUAACCACGUUCGGUAAUGAUUUCAAUUAAAUUAAAUAUGUUAUGUUAAAUAUGUUAA